CUACGGGGGGCAGCAGUGGGGAAUAUUGGACAAUGGGCGAAAGCCUGAUCCAGCAAUGCCGCGUGUGUGAAGAAGGCCUGCGGGUUGUAAAGCACUUUCAGUUGGGAAGAUGAUGACGUUACCAACAGAAGAAGCACCGGCUAAAUCCGUGCCAGCAGCCGCGGUAAUACGGAUGGUGCGAGCGUUAAUCGGAAUUACUGGGCGUAAAGCGCGCGUAGGCGGCUAAGUCAGUCAGAAGUGAAAGCCCCGGGCUCAACCUGGGAAUUGCUUUUGAUACUGCGUAGCUAGAGUUUGGUAGAGGAUAGUGGAAUUCCAGGGGUAGCGGUGAAAUGCGUAGAUAUCUGGGGGAACAGCAGUGGCGAAGGCGACUGUCUGGACCAAAACUGACGCUGAGGUGCGAAAGCGUGGGUAGCAAACAGGAUUAGAUACCCUCGUAGUC
rnacentral:rRNA from 1 species